rnacentral:rRNA from 1 species
CCUACGGGAGGCAGCAGUGGGGAAUAUUGCACAAUGGGCGAAACCCUGAUGCAGCGACGCCGCGUGAGUGAUGAAGUAUUUCGGUAUGUAAAGCUCUAUUAGUAGGGAAGAAAAUGACUGUACCUGACUAAUCACGCCGGGCUAACUACGUGCCAGCAGCCGCGGUAAUACGUAGGGGGCAAGCCUUAGCCGGAUUUACUGGGGGGAAAGGGAGCGGAGACGGUUGUGCAAGCCAGAUGCGAAAGCCCAGGGCUGAACCCGAGGAGUGCAUGUGAAACUGUAAGACUAGAGUGCAGGAGAGGAAGGUGGAAUUCCAAGUGUAGCGGUGAAAUGCGUAGAUAUAAGGAGGAACACCAGUGGCGAAGGCGGCCUGCUGGACGGUAACUGACGAUGAGGCUCGAAAGCGUGGGGAGCAAACAGGAUUAGAUACCCUAGUAGUC